GGCUGUGACAGCUGUUCCCUCUUCCUUCACCCUGGCUGCAUCACCAUGGUAUGCAGAGAGCGAUGUGUAAGAAGCAUACAUCUUUCCACCGCUAGCAUUGGGUACUCGUGGUAGACUGGUUGUACGAGCCUGGACGGCGCUAUAAUAAAUGUAUACAUUUACAGAAUCAGCAAAGAGCUCAUGAAGCACAAUGGAGCUUGGUGGAAGAAGAAGCUGCGGACGCUCACAUCAGAGCCCAUUUCACACAGUUCAGACUCAGUCGCACACAGAUGUGCAAAUGUCACACACUGUAAACUAGCAAUGUAGUUUUGUCACUCCCAGUCGUUUUAUAUAUGCGAAUAAGUACAUUUUGUUUUUGUGUGAAAAAAGAUGCUCAAGUCACCCAGGACCUGGUGCACUGAGAGGUGCUAUAUGGUGUGACUGAAGCCACAGAGUAUAAUGACACAUCUGUAUUAGUGUAGGAGACACAUGGAUAUCACCAACUGCAUACUGUACUAUGGGGGUAAUUCUGAGUUGAUCACA